GGGAGGGGAAGUCAGGUGGUGGAGGGAGGAGAAGUAUUUGUUGACAUGUGAUAAGAAAUAUGUAACGAAAGAGCUAUAGAGAGGCAUACACUUUUUGUUGAAGGUUGAUAAUGUCUAACAAAGCUGGAAGCAAUGCUCCCACUUAAGAACAUGUUCCUUUUUACCAUUGCUAUGACAAUUAUAGUGUUAUAUUUUGUAUGGAGCUCUCAAGGCAAGGAGUUUGGGAGACAUUAUGAUCAUCGAGAACAUGUAUUCCUGUGCCACAUGUCAUUUGAGGACAGCAGGAAUAAAAAUGUGGAUAACAUACCCACAAUUUAUUUUAUUACACCCACAUAUCCAAGGAGGGAGCAAGCAGCAGAACUUACAAGGUUAGGGCAAACAUUGAUGCAUAUACCUAACCUGCAUUGGAUUGUUGCUGAUGAUAACAUGGUUUGCAGUGCAAUGAUAACAAAACUCUUGAAAAAAUUUGGUAUUCCUUUCACCCACAUUGCAAGCCCAAUGCCAGAGGUGUAUCGCAAAGCAGAUAUUGUUCCAAGAGGUGUAGCCAAUAGACGAGCUGCACUCGGCUGGAUAAGAAAGCAUGUGAAGAAUGGUGUGAUAUAUUUUGGAGAUGAUGAUAAUACAUUUGAUUUAGAGCUCUUUGAAGAAAUUCGUGGUACGAAGCGAGUUUCAAUGUUCCCAGUUGGUCUCAUUGGUGACUAUGCAGUUAGUUCUCCUGUGUUAAGAAAGGGAAGAGUUAUAGGAUUUUUUGAUUCAUGGCCAUCCAAGAGAAAGUUUCCAGUAGACAUGGCUGGAUUUGCUGUGAAUGUUGAGUUUUUAUUGGAACAUCCAAAUGCAACCAUGCCAUACAAAGCUGGAUAUGAAGAGGACCACUUUCUUCGAAGUCUUCACUUAAAAUUGGAGGAUAUCGAACCAAAAGGAAACUCGUGCACUCAGAAAAUGGGCAUACUUCUGACUUUUUGUAUGCUGCUGGGUUCUUGUGUGGCAUACACAGACUACGAAGAAAUCCCGAUCUGUGAUAAAAAUUGGAAGCUAUCUUGAUACAAACUUGAAACUACUACUAGAGGAACUUCGUUAUCUUGGAAUGGGUGAUGUUAGUUCAACAAAAGGGGCAGCAGCCUACUUAACAAAGGAUGGGCACACACAGACGAUAUAACCAUUCCUAAUGUGUUUGCUAACUUUUGACACAUUAUCUGCACAAAGUUAUGACUGCAAUAACACUCUGUUGCAGUCUUAUAUCAUAAAUAGUGGCUCAAUCUAGAACUUGUCAUUUAAUGUAGUGGUAGACAAUAUUUAUGAUUAAAUAGGAUGACAUUCUCAUCGAUUGAAGUGUGGUACUGAAUUUGUACAAAUAUUAUUUAUUAAAAAGAAGUAGAUUUAUUCCAGUUUAGAUAUUUGAAAUGGGUGAUAAAUUAAGUAAUGAUAAGAUUUUUGAGAAUUCAGAAUAUUUCAUAUAUCUGAUUUUGAUCGUUUUUCUAGUCAUACAUUUCAGCGGCAAGGAGUUCUGAUAAAGAUAUUGUUCAUUGGUAGUCAUGCUUUUGCUGAGGGAUCUACCGACCUAUUUCAUAAGAAAAUAUAGUGAUUAACUAUAGCUGCAAUAUUAAACUUCACAAAGACAUUUGAGAUUAUAUAUUUUAAGUAGACUGUUAAGUUAAUUUAGCUUUUGGUGCAACUUUUAUCUUUCAUAGGCAUUUGGGGUAAAAAAGAAAUAUAUUUCUGUGUGAGUCAAUUCAUACAACAUUUGCAGUGGGAUGAUAAACAUAGAAAUCAGAAUUAAAGGAGUUAACACGGAGUUUACAUCUUUCCUUGUAUUGCAUAAAUAUUAAGUUUAAUAGUUCCACACAAGAACAUAGAACAAAACGUUGGCAACAAUAUCAGACAUCAUACCAGGAUUUAUUAUAACUGUCUAAGGAGAAACACAGUAUUUUUCAAUCAGGUAUGGAAUAUCAACUAAAACAAUAGUAUUUUCUCUUUAAACAUUGUGUGAAAACAUGUCUCUGUUUGCAGUGCCUCACAAGUUCCUGCAUCUACUUAAUGAUUGUAUGAUUAAAGCACAGUCAGGAUUUCUAUGUCCUUACACCAUUAAAUUAGGAUUAAACUAUUUAUUUAUAUGUACAUUUAGUUUUAUAGCUCUUAUUAUUGAAGCUUUAAUACUGUUUGCAAUACAGUUGGUUAUUGAUACACCCAGGACUUGGGAUUUGAAAGAGAUAACUACUUCACUUAGCUUUCAGAAAAAGCAUUUAGUCUUCAUUUUGAGGUUUGAAAAUAGGGUCUGAUUACCAUUCUGCAAGAAUUAAGAAACACAGAUUUGUAUUGUGUAUAAAUAACGUAAUUUAAUAUCCUGACAAAGACAAGGUAAAACUUGUGUGGGAUGAUGUCUUAAUGGUAGGAAAACAAAACUAUAUUUCUAUGUUGAAUGCAAUAUCGUAUGUUGGUUGUGUUGAGAUGUAAGAUUUAAAACAAAAUUGUCAAUAAGCACAAGAUUAAUACCUCUUACUGCUAAAUUACUUUAUCAGACGUUGGUACAGUACGAGCAUUGUAAUCGGCAGGGGAUGUUAGAAGUGAAUUUAAGCGAUUCUGCCUACCCCUUCACUCUCAGAAUAUCCCUUUUUAUUGCCAUUGUCAAGGACGUUAAACCCAAAUCUUAAUUCCUUGUGGUUUGACAAAGAGAAAGUAACAUUCAGAAUAUAAUGAAAUUGACAUAUCAUUUUGUGUAUUUCCAGUGUGGUUUGGUGUCUAAAACUUCAUUAGUCUAGGAUUAAAGCCUUUCAGUAGUCCUGGGGUGUUUUUUCACCUUUGCUUCUUUCACUUCCUGCAGUGAUUUGGAAGUAUGAAAAAUACCAAGUUGCUCUAUGGUCUGGAAUCCACGUUAAACUGUAGAGACCUCUAUAGCUGACCAAGUCCGUUCAAAGGUCAGAGAAAGGCAAGAGCUUAGCACCUCCAAUAGCACCAUACCCAGUGUGACGUACUAUGAUUUUGAAAUCACAUUUACAUUUUUCAAACUACAAGUUCAGCUCAGAAUUCUUGCUACAAAGCAACUUGUCAUAUGUUGUAAGGUUCCCUUGUGAGUGCUUUUAUUUCCUUUAGUUAAUUUUGAUUUAUCUUUGGCUCACAUCUGUUGCUGAUUUAUCUCAGCAUCAUUACAACAAAGUAAGUUUAAACAGUAGUAUUUUUCAAGUACGUGAUAGGAUUUAAUUUGACUGCCUAGGCUGUGCAUAAUGUCAUCUGUAUUAACUGUAAAUCUUCUGCUGUUUCACAGUUAACAUAUUUUAAAAAUUUUUAUUUCAUGCUCACACUGUCUGCCAUAUUAUUUGUCAUGUAGUAUUAGGUUGCUGUGAUUUUAAAUUGUGUCUUCCAUAUUUUACUUCAUUUUCUGUAAGUUUGAACCAUUUGUACAAAUUAUGCAGUUUUCAAGCUCUUAUGUGUAUACUGUUUUUCAUACCAGCUUUAUGCUUUUUAAAUUAUAAUUUUUAUUUACUGUAGAUUACAUUUCAUUUUCAUAUAUUUAUUGAUAACAUAAUUCAUAUUCUGUUAAUGCUAAUAGUAAUAUUUGUACUAUUGGAAGCAACAGGAUUUGUUUCAUUAUUACACAAUAAAUUGCUAAGCUGUAAUUGUGAAAAUGAACGGCUGCACAAACAUUUCUUAACAUAUGAGCUGAAAUAAUUGAAAUAAUAGCCAGAGGACAGAGAAAAUACUAACUGCUCUUGA